AGUAAGGUAUUGGGAGACAUACUUGACUAUAUCUUUCUUUAUUCCCAGCCACCAGUACUAACGCUUCAAGUCCCAGUACAUCUUGGUACUCCCGAGAUGGAUGGAUAGCUUGGAAGUAUGGGCGGUCUUGAGAACAUCCACCCUAACAGCAGCGGGGACCCAAAUUUGGUUUUGAAAUUUGAACAGUCCAUUAUCUAAAAUCCUAAAAUCAGAAGAUUUGUUAGAAGUGAAAUCACCUAGAUUCUUGGUGAGUUCCAGGU
rnacentral:lncRNA from 1 species